AAACCAGCACCUCAAGUGGUCAGGAUGAUUAUUGGGCCUAAAGCAUCCGUAGCCGGCUCUGUAAGUUUUCGGUUAAAUCUGUACGCUUAACGUACAGGCUGCUGGGAAUACUGCAGAGCUAGGGAGUGGGAGAGGUAGACGGUACUCGGGAGGAAGGGGUAAAAUCCUUUGAUCUCUCGAUGACCACCUGUGGCGAAGGCGGUCUACCAGAACACGUCCGACGGUGAGGGAUGAAAGCUGGGGGAGCAAACCGGAUUAGAAACCCCGGUAGUCC
rnacentral:rRNA from 1 species